GAGUUUGAUCAUGGCUCAGGAUGAACGCUAGCGGGAGGCCUAACACAUGCAAGCCGAGCGGUAUUGUUUCUUCGGAAAUGAGAGAGCGGCGUACGGGUGCGGAACACGUGUGCAACCUGCCUUUAUCUGGGGGAUGGCCUUUCGAAAGGAAGAUUAAUACUCCAUAAUAUAUUGAACGGCAUCGUUUAAUAUUGAAAGCUCCGGCGGAUAGAGAUGGGCACGCGCAAGAUUAGCUAGUUGGUGAGGUAACGGCUCACCAAGGCAAUGAUCUUUAGGGGCCUGAGAGGGUGAUCCCCCACACUGGUACUGAGACACGGACCAGACUCCUACGGGAGGCAGCAGUGAGGAAUAUUGGUCAAUGGGUGCAAGCCUGAACCAGCCAUCCCGCGUGAAGGACGACUGCCCUAUGGGUUGUAAACUUCUUUUGUAUAGGGAUAAACCUUUCCACGUGUGGAAAGCUGAAGGUACUAUACGAAUAAGCACCGGCUAACUCCGUG
rnacentral:rRNA from 1 species